CUGGCUGGGUGUAGCUGUGGCUGAAUAUGCUAAUUACUAUUUUAAACUGUGGUGUUUUAUAGAAAGAAUAAAGAAAUCGUAAUAGUAAUAGUAAUAAUAAUAAUAAUAAUAAUAGAAAAUGUAAAACUUUUAAAGGGGGGGGGAAGGAAAAGGGAAUAAAAAGACAAAAUUUUAAAAGUAAAAACAAAAACCAAACAGCCCACAAAACUGUGGCUUGCUUUCUGUGCCCCAGCACCACAGGGUGAUGGGCCCCGUAUGGGCUUGUGGCCCUUGAGCACACUGAGGUCCCAAGUUCACCAUGCACUGCACCCUGCUCUGGUCUAGAAUUUUAAGGUGGAGGAGGGGAGAAAGGUCCUACAGUGCCUUAGCCCUUUUAAACUGUGCGUUUUUUUCUCUGUGCCCCAGCACGAAUGGGGCUCGCACGGGCUUCAGGAUCCUGGGCUUGCUGAGGUCACAAGCUCCCUGUGACCACGGGACCCACCAGUUAUGGCAUCACGGCCCACUAACGAUGGCACUGAACAGGCCUCUUAAGGCAUCCAGACCCUGCUCCAGUCUGGGCUCAAAGUAGGGGGAGGGGAGAGCGUUCCCACAGUUAACUUGGCUCUUUUAAGCUUUUUUUUUUUUUUUUUUUCCUUCUGUGUGCCCGCAGACCCUGAGCCUGCUGAGGUGGCAAGCCUUCUGUGACCAUCUGUCCUACCAGUUAUGGUGUCAGGACACACUACUAAUGGUGUUGGAAACCGCCCCUUAUGGCGGCCAGACCCCACUCCGGUCUGGACUUUUGAGGUGGGGAGCGGCUUGGGAGCGCUCCCACAGUUCCUUGGCCCCUUUUAGUCUGUGGCUUUUGUUCUGUGCUUUUUUUCUGGCGUGGGCCUGCCGACCCUCCGCUCACUGAGGUCGUGAGCUCCCCGUCACGAGAGCUCCCGGUCAGGACUGGAACUGCCCGUUAUGGUGACCCUGCUCUGGCGCAGGCUUUUAAGUAGCUGUUCCAUCAGCCUUCAGAUCUCUUCGGGAGGAACUAUCCUAUUUAUACGUGUAAAUUCCGUGUGCUCUGUGGAGGAGGUGAGCUCAGAGCCUUCCGAAGUCGCCAUCUUGAACUGGAGUCUGACAGGAUUUGUUAAUAAGCGCCUGGGUGGCUCAGUCGGUUUAGCGCCUGUCUUCGGCUCAGGUCGUGAUCUCCCGGUUCAUGAGUUGGACCCCCCUGUGGGCCUCUGUGCUGACAGCUCAGAGCCUGGAGCCUGCUUUGGAUUCUGCGUCUCCCUCUCUCUCUCUGCCCCUCCCCUGCUCAUGCUCUGUCUCUCUCUCUC